rnacentral:rRNA from 1 species
AGCUUGUUGGUGGGGUAAUGGCCUACCAAGGCUAUGAUGGGUAGCUGGUCUGAGAGGAUGAUCAGCCACACUGGAACUGACACACGGUCCAGACUCCUACGGGAGGCAGCAGUGAGGAAUUUUGCGCAAUGGGGGAAACCCUGACGCAGCAACGCCGCGUGAGUGAUGAAGGCUUUCGGGUCGUAAAGCUCUGUCAAGUGGGAAGAACUCCCGUGAGGUUAAUACCCUCAUGGUUUGACGGUACCACUGAAGGAAGCACCGGCUAACUCCGUGCCAGCAGCCGCGGUAAUACGGGGGGUGCAAGCGUUAUUCGGAUUUACUGGGCGUAAAGCGCGCGUAGGCGGCCGUUUAAGUCAGAUGUGAAAGCCCGGGGCUCAACCCCGGAAGUGCAUUUGAUACUAUUCGGCUUGAGUAUGGGAGAGGGAAGUGGAAUUCCUGGUGUAGAGGUGAAAUUCGUAGAUAUCAGGAGGAACACCGGUGGCGAAGGCGACUUCCUGGACCAAUACUGACGCUGAGGCGCGAAGGCGUGGGUAGCAAACAGGAUUAGAUACCCUGGUAGUCCACGCAGUAAACUGUGAUCACUAGGUGUAGCGGGUAUUGACCCCUGCUGUGCCGCAGCUAACGCAUUAAGUGAUCCGCCUGGGGAGUACGGCCGCAAGGUUAAAACUCAAAGGAAUUGACGGGGGCCCGCACAAGCGGUGGAGCAUGUGGUUUAAUUCGACGCAACGCGAAGAACCUUACCUGGAUUUGACAUCUCGGGAAUUUCUAUGAAAGUAGGAAGUGCCCUUCGGGGAGCCCGAUGACAGGUGCUGCAUGGCUGUCGCCAGCUCGUGUCGUGAGAUGUUGGGUUAAGUCCCGCAACGAGCGCAACCCCUAUCUUUAGUUACCAGCACUUCGGGUGGGGACUCUAAAGAUACUGCCCCGGUCAACGGGGAGGAAGGUGGGGAUGACGUCAAGUCCUCAUGGCCUUUAUGUCCAGGGCUACACACGUGCUACAAUGGGCAGUACAGAGGGUCGCGACACUGCGAGGUGGAGCUAAUCCCUUAAAGCUGUUCCAAGUUCGGAUUGGAGUCUGCAACUCGACUCCAUGAAGCUGGAAUCGCUAGUAAUCGCGGAUCAGCAUGCCGCGGUGAAUACGUUCCCGGGCCUUGUACACACCGCCCGUCACACCAUGAGAGUUGGUUGUACCCGACGUCGCUGGGCUAACUCAUUAGAGAUGCAGGCGCCUAAGGUAUGGCUGAUGAUUGGGGUGAAGUCGUAACAAGGUAGCCGUUGGGGAACCAGCGGCUG